rnacentral:rRNA from 1 species
UACGGAGGAGGCAAGCGUUAUCCGGAAUUAUUGGGCGUAAAGCGUCCGUAGAUGGUCGCUUCAAGUCUGCUGUCAAAGACCGGGGCUUAACCCUGGAAAGGCGAUGGAAACUGAAAGGCUAGAGAGAGGUAGGGGUAGAGGGAAUUCCCAGUGUAGCGGUGAAAUGCGUAGAGAUUGGGAAGAACAUCGGUGGCGAAAGCGCUCUACUGGACCUCAUCUGACACUCAGGGACGAAAGCUAGGGGAGCGAAUGGG